UAGUCCACGCAGUAAACGAUGAGUGCUAGUUGUCGGGAUUUUUCUCGGUGGCGAAGCUAACGCGUUAAGCACUCCGCCUGGGGAGUACGGCCGCAAGGCUAAAACUCAAAGGAAUUGACGGGGACCCGCACAAGCAGUGGAGCAUGUGGUUUAAUUCGAAGCAACGCGCAGAACCUUACCAACCCUUGACAUCCCGGGACCGGUCCAGAGAUGGAUCUUCCACUUCGGUGGCUCGGUGACAGGUGCUGCAUGGCUGUCGUCAGCUCGUGUCGUGAGAUGUUCGGUUAAGUCCGGCAACGAGCGCAACCCACAUCCUUAGUUGCCAGCAGUUCGGCUGGGCACUCUAGGGAAACUGCCCGUGAUAAGCGGGAGGAAGGUGUGGAUGACGUCAAGUCCUCAUGGCCCUUACGGGUUGGGCUACACACGUGCUACAAUGGCAGUGACAAUGGGUUAAUCCCAAAAACUGUCUCAGUUCGGAUUGGGGUCUGCAACUCGACCCCAUGAAGUCGG
rnacentral:rRNA from 1 species